GGGCGCACAGUGACCACCCGCCCAUAUACUAAAAUUGGAACGAUACAGAGAAGAUUAGCAUGGCCCCUGCGCAAGGAUGACACGCAAAAUCGUGAAGCGUUCCAACUCGAA